ACCAGACUCCUACGGGAGGCAGCAGUGGGGGAUAUUGCACAAUGGGGGGAACCCUGAUGCAGCGACGCCGCGUGGGUGAAGAAGCGCCUCGGCGCGUAAAGCCCUGUCAGCAGGGAAGAAAAUGACGGUACCUGAAGAAGAAGCCCCGGCUAACUACGUGCCAGCAGCCGCGGUAAUACGUAGGGGGCAAGCGUUAUCCGGAUUUACUGGGUGUAAAGGGGGCGCAGACGGCGAUGCAAGCCAGGAGUGAAAGCCCGGGGCACAACCCCGGGACUGCUCUUGGAACUGCGCGGCUGGAGUGCAGGAGGGGCAGGCGGAAUUCCUGGUGCAGCGGUGAAAUGCGUAGAUAUCAGGAGGAACACCGGUGGCGAAGGCGGCCUGCUGGACUGCGACUGACGUUGAGGCCAGAAAGCGUGGGGAGCAAACAGGAUGAGAUACCCCAGUA
rnacentral:rRNA from 1 species